GAAUUUUGGACAAUGGGCGAAAGCCUGAUCCAGCAAUGCCGCGUGCAGGAUGAAGGCCUUCGGGUUGUAAACUGCUCUUGUACGGAACGAAAAGCUUUGGGUUAAUACCCUGAAGUCCUGACGUUACCGUAAGAAAAAGCACCGGCUACCUCCGUGCCAGCAGCCGCGGUAAUCAGGAGGGUGCAAGCGUUAAUCGGAAUUACUAGGCGUAAAGCGUGCGCAGGCGGUUUUGUAAGACAGCGGUGAAAUCCCCGGGCUCAACCUGGGAACUGCCUUUGUGACUGCAAGGCUAGAGUACGGCAGAGGGGGGUGGAAUUCCGCGUGUAGCAGUGAAAUGCGUAGAUAUGCGGAGGAACACCGAUGGCGAAGGCAACCCCCUGGGCCUGUACUGACGCUCAUGCACGAAAGCGUGGGGAGCAAACAG
rnacentral:rRNA from 1 species